rnacentral:rRNA from 1 species
AGGGUUUGAUUCUGGCUCAGAACGUACGCUGGCGGCACGCCUAACGCAUGCAAGUCGAACGAAGUAGCAAUACUUAGUGGCAGACGGGUGAGUAACAUGUAGGUAUCUGCCCUUUGGCCUGGAAUAACACGAGGAAACUUGUGCUAAUACCGGAUAAGUCUUUACGGAGAAAGCUUUAUGCACCAUUGGAUGAGCCUGCACUUGAUUAGUUUGUUGGUAGGGUAAUGGCCUACCAAGACUGUGAUCAACAGCUGAUUUGAGAGGAUGAUCAGCCACAUUGGGACUGAGACACGGCCCAAACUCCUACGGGAGGCAACAGUGGGGAAUCUUGCACAAUGGAGGAAACUCUGAUGCAGCGAUGCCGCGUGAGUGAAGAAGGCCCUUGGGUUGUAAAGCUCUUUCGUCGGGGAAGAAAAUGACUGUACCCGAAUAAGAAGGUCUGGAUAACUUCGUGCCAGCAGCCGCGGUAAUACGAAGGGACCUAGCGUAGUUCGGAAUUACUGGGCUUAAAGAGUUCGUAGGUGGUUGAAAAAGUUGGUGGUGAAAUCCCAGAGCUUAACUCUGGAACUGCCAUCAAAACUUUUCAGCUAGAGUAUGAUAGAGGAAAGCAGAAUUUCUAGUGUAGAGGUGAAAUUCGUAGAUAUUAGAAAGAAUACCAAAUGCGAAGGCAGCUUUCUGGAUCAUUACUGACACUGAGGAACGAAAGCAUGGGUAGCGAAGAGGAUUAGAUACCCUCGUAGUCCAUGCCGUAAACGAUGUGUGUUAGACGUUGGAAAUUUAUUUUCAGUGUCGCAGCGAAGCGAUAAACACACCGCCUGGGGAGUACGACCGCAAGGUUAAAACUCAAAUGAAUUGACGGGGACCCGCACAAGUAGUGGAGCAUGUGGUUUAAUUCGAAGAUACGCGCAGAACCUUACCAACACUUGACAUGUUCGUCGCGACUUUAAGAGAUUAAAGUUUUCGGUUCGGCCGGACGAAACACAGGUGCUGCAUGGCUGUCGUCAGCUCGUGUCGUGAGAUGUUGGGUUAAGUCCCGCAACGAGCGCAACCCUCACUUUUAGUUGCCAUCAUUAAGUUGGGCACUCUGAAAGAACUGCCAGUGAUAAGCUGGAGGAAGGUGGGGAUGACGUCAAGUCCUCAUGGCCCUUACGUGUUGGGCUACACACGUGCUACAAUGGUAUCUACAACAGGAAGCAAAACGGCGACGUUAAGCAAAUCCUCAAAAGAUACCUCAGUUCGGAUUGCACUCUGCAACUCGAGUGCAUGAAGCUGGAAUUACUAGUAAUCGUGGAUCAGCGUGCCACGGUGAAUGCGUUCCCGGGUCUUGUACACACCGCCCGUCACACCAUGGGAGUUGGUUCUACCUUAAGGCAAGGUUUCAAACCCUUGACCACGGUAUAGUCAGCGACUGGGGUGAAGUCGUAACAAGGUAGCCAAGGG